GCUGCAGAGUCACGAUUCUGAGCUUCCACGCGAGCCAGCAUCAGCAAGGCGCAAGAAGAUGUUUGCCAGAGCUGCUUUGGGAAGAGGCAGGAGGGGCUGGAGGUCUGCAUCUUGCUCUUGACCAUCUCAACAAACAAGCGUCUCUUUAACACAGAAAAGACAGCGACGACGACAUUUAGUUUAGACUUGUACUGCCUUCUGGGCCCAAGACGGAUGGGCUCUUCUCUAUGUAAGAUUUACUGAUUUGGAAUGUUGGGCCCUUUGGGGGGUCGGGCAGGGAGUGACAUAUGGCUUGCUGUAGGGGGUGCUGUUUUGGGGGUUCAUUUGCUGCUCUGGGAUCUCUGUUUAGAUCCUAGCUAGGAGGAGACUGGCAGGCUGAGGGGUCUCGCAGGAGGCAAAAUGACUUCUGCUGGCAGCAGGCAGGGCCUUGCAGAACGGGAGGGCAGAGGGUGUAGGUGUCCCUACCAUAUAGGUGUUACAGAGACCACAGUGGCUACCCUGUUCCUCAGGUAUUGCCUGUUGGGAAGCCCUCCACACCCCAGCCUGGCUGCUCUGACUCAGAACCCCACUGUCUUCCAGACCCUACACCUUAGGGGUAGAAAGGCCGGAAGAAAGACCCUUCAGAAGUAGAGAGGGUACCAUGGUGACAGAGGGAGCUGCGGCUUCCUCUUCGGAAGUCAGCAGGUAAAUGGAGGGUCGGCUAGGGAAGAGGGAAUUCCCAGAGAGCUCUGAAAACCUGUGCCUUACAGACACUCAUGCCUUCAGGGCUCUGGGUGUUAGCAAAGGAGGAGAAACUGGGUAAGCUGUGAACCAGGAGCCCGAGUCCUUCCUACGGGGCCUGAGAGGCUGUGGUUUAUGGAUGGAUGGUGGGUCUUGCAUUCCUGUCUCGCAAGUUUCUCAGAGAAACUAGAAAUCCAGCAUACUGAGAUAGUACUUAAAAAGUAAAAACCCCUUUACCCAAUGCGUACGUAGACUGGGAUAUAAGUAAGAUACAUGAAGGAAGACUGGGAUAUAAGUAAGAUACAUGAAGGAAAGGAAAGCUACUCUGGUUAACGAGGGCUGGAGGUGCCGAGUCACGGGACCCAAGGACUCUGAGAAACCCUAGCUCGCUGCUCCCGAAUCCAUUUGAACGAAGGUCAAGUGGUGGAUAGCUGAGCCCUAGGAAGGGCAGAGUACGAGGACAACAAGAUCUACUCUCAGGCUUCUGUUCCUGAGGCUCCCCGUCCAUCCCCACCUGACAUAUCUGAUGACUUCUUAAAAACGUCGUUUAUUACAUUUGUUUAGUUAUUUAGUGUCUGUGGGAGCCGUGAACUCAUGUGGAGGACAGAGGACAACUUGAGAGAGCCCAUUCUCUUCUCCCUUCCACUUUGUGAGUCCUGGGAAUCGAACUUAUGCCGUUAACGCUUGAUAGCAAGCAGAUUUACCCAAGGAGCCAACCGGCCCAACGUCUACCAGUUUCUACUCUUUGGCCACGGUGGGACAGAGCCGAAGAAGAGCUAGACAGCACUGGGCCCAAGGCAAUCUUUGAAAACAGUGAGUUAGAAUAAGGAUGUCAGUGAUAGCCAAAGGCAUCAUGGGAUAUCACGGGGUGUCUCUCUUGCUUCACACCCGUGCUCCUGUUGAACUAAACCCUGUGGGCCAUGCCGUUUUUUUUUAUUCGCACCCCAAAGACAAGAGAUCUAAAUCAAUGGCA
rnacentral:lncRNA from 1 species